GAUGAACGCUAGCUACAGGCUUAACACAUGCAAGGCGAGGGGAAACGAUAGAGAAAGCUUGCUUUUUCUAGGCGUCGACCGGCGCACGGGUGAGUAACGCGUAUCCAACCUGCCCAUCACUUGGGGAUAACCUUGCGAAAGUAAGACUAAUACCCAAUGACGUCCAUAGAAGACAUCUGAAAGGGAUUAAAGAUUUAUCGGUGAUGGAUGGGGAUGCGUCUGAUUAGCUUGUUGGCGGGGGACCGGCCCACCAAGGCGACGAUCAGUAGGGGUUCUGAGAGGAAGGUCCCCCACAUUGGAACUGAGACACGGUCCAAACUCCUACGGGAGGCAGCAGUGAGGAAUAUUGGUCAAUGGGCGAGAGCCUGAACCAGCCAAGUAGCGUGCAGGAUGACGGCCCUAUGGGUUGUAAACUACUUUUAUAAGGGAAUAAAGUGAGCCUCGUGAGGCUUUUUGCAUGUACCUUAUGAAUAAGGACCGGCUGAUUCCGUGCCAGCCGCCGCAGUAA
rnacentral:rRNA from 1 species